AGUUCUUUGUGGAUAGGGAUCACGCCUGAUUUACCUUGACAUUCCCCUGUGGCAAGCACAGUGCUUGGCAUAUAUUUCUGACACGUGGCAGGGUGAACAGUAUACUCAUGCACUCUACCAUCAUGGACCUUAGACUAAUGAGGAAGGGAGCUAUCGCUCAACAGAUUCUAGCAAAACAUGGUCAUUACAUGAACUGGUUCAAAUGUGUGUGUGAAUUGUGUCCUGAGCUCCUCUCUGUGCUUGUCUUGGGGAGGAGUUGAGGGUGACAAAGAAGGAGCAGUUCUUGACCCUGAGAACUUGGAGUUUGUGCUGUCAGU
rnacentral:lncRNA from 1 species